AAAAAUUAGCUGGGCAUGGUGUCAUGAGCCUGUAGUCCAAGCUACUGAGGAGGCUGAGGCAGGAGAAUCACUUGAAGGAUUGCAGUGAGCUGAGAUUGCAUCACUGCACUCCAGCCUUGUAAGAGAGUGAGACUCCAUCUCAAAACAACAACAACAAAGAAAAAAAAAACAAAAACCUGUAAAGUAGGACGUGACUGUAGGGGCUUGUAGUUCUCCUGAGUAUCACUGCUCUUCUUUCCACAGCUGAGAGAAUAUCAUCAGCACAACAGCCCUGGUGUUGGUACAGGAGCAACCGACACCAAGAGGCAAAUAAACAGCGGCAGCAACACUGACACCACCACUUCUCCUGGCUGCCACUCACCUGAGGACGAAAAUAAGCCAAUUUACCACCAUCUGGCAGCACUCAAAUGGCAGGUAGAGGCUCAGGCUAUCAUCGGUGCCCAGGAGACAGCCCUAUACUUUAGUGAGAAUGCAGCCAGGCAGCUAGAAGGUGGGAAUCUGGGCACCCCGUAAUCAUCAUUUCAACCUGGCACUUUGACAGGCUUUUAGGGGGAGUCCCUUGGGCCUCAGCUCAACCUCUCUCCUUCCAGGAGACUGCAGAUACCUCUCCGGCUGCCUGCAACAUGCCUCCUGACAGGUGGAGGACUUGAAGCAGGCUUUGUCUGAUGUAUCCAGACAGAAAAACGUGGCGGACAGAGUGAGUCCAAACACCUGCCCCGUCCCCCUGGCAAUCCGACUUCCCAGAUGGAGGAGUGAUGUGCAAUGAGGAGUUAAUAAAGGAGAGGGAUGGCCUGAGUCUGGCACUGUACAGGAACACUAUCAUCAAUGAGGAGCUGGAGAGGAAGAACACCAAACUAGAAGAAAAACUUAGACUCCUGCAGUCCGAAAAGUCCAGCAUCCAGCUCAGUGUCCAGGAGCUACAAAAAAAGCUGGAUAGGACCAACCUCCUGCUGCCGCAGGUGCAGCUACAGGAGGAGAUUGAGAACCUGAAGCAGGAGCUACAGAAAACCAAAAGAGAGCUCCAAGAAGCGCUGGAUGAAAAUAAUCGCUGGGAACACCUCUACCAGCAGCAGGAAGAGACAAUGAGGGAACACAAGAUGAUGAUGGUGGAUUGGGAGGAGAAAAUACUGCAGGAGGAACUAAAGAUGCGGGAGCAGGAAGAGACAAUGAGGGAACACAAGAAGAUGGUGGAUUGGGAGGAGAAAAUACUGCAGGAGGAACUAAACAUGCGGCAGCAGGAAGAGACAAUGAGGGAACACCAGCGGAUGAUACAAAGGCGAGAGGAGAAGAUUCAGGAGGAGGAACAGAAGAUUCAGGAGGAGGAAAAGAAAAGGCUGUGGGAUGCGAAGGAACAACUGAGGGAGCAGGAGAAGAAAAUACAGCAGGAGAAAGAGUGGCUGAGGGAGUGGGAAGAGAAGAUGGAGAAGCAGGAGGCGAUGAUGCAGGAAAAUAAGCUGAGGGAGCAGGAGAUGUGGGAGAAGGAAGGGAGGCAGGAGCAAGUGGAGAAGAGGGGAGAACAGGACAUGAUGUGGGGGAAGGAGAACAUGUGGGAGGAGUACAGGAUGUGGAAAUAGAAGACAAUGCAGGAGUAGAAUUAUAAAAUACUGGCUGGGUGCAGUGCUAAAAUACAGUUAAUAUCAAAUUUACCAUUUUAAUAAAAGUUAUUUUAAAGUUUCUACCUGAGGGCUCUCAUAUCUAUGUAUAUUUCUAUUGUCUUUCUUAUCUCUUGUCUUUCUCUUUUAGUCUUGCCUGAUGGCAUGCCUAGUAAACUUUCAUCUGCCUCCAGAGUGUAUUGACUUUGACUCUAUGGCACACAAUCGGAGUAAGGGCAGAUCACUUUCAUCUAAUUUGGGACUAAGCUGGUUCAAAGCAGNNNNNNNNNNNNNNNNNNNNNNNNNNNNNNNNNNNNNNNNNNNNNNNNNNNNNNNNNNNNNNNNNNNNNNNNNNNNNNNNNNNNNNNNNNNNNNNNNNNNGCAGCAGGAAGAGACAAUGAGGGAACACAAGAAGAUGAUGGUGGAUUGGGAGGAGAAAAUACUGCAGGAGGAACUAAACAUGCGGCAGCAGGAAGAGACAAUGAGGGAACACCAGCGGAUGAUGCAAAGGCGAGAGGAGAAGAUUCAGGGACGGGAAAAGAAGAUUCAGGAGCAGGAGGAAAAGAUUUGGGAGGAGAAGAGGCGUCAGGAGGAGAAAAAGAUUCAGCAGGAAAAGAAGAGGCUGUGGGAUGCGAAGGAACAACUGAGGGAGCAGGAGAAGAAAAUGAAGGAGGAGAAAGAACGGCUGAGGGAGUGGGAAGAGAAGAUGGAGAAGCAGGAGGUGAUGAUGCAGGAAAAGAAGAAGCGGAGGGAGCAGGAGAUGUGGGAGAAGGAGGGGAGGCAGGAGCAAGUGGAGAAGAGGGGAGAGCAGGACGACAUGAUGUGGGAGAAGAACAUGUGGGAGGAGUACAGGCUGUGGAAAUAGGAGAAGACAAUGCAGGAGUAGAAUUGUAAAAUACUGGCUGGGUGCGGUCGUAAAAUACGGUUAAUAUCAAAUUUACCAUUUUAAUAAAAGUUAUUUUAAAGUUUCUACCUGAGGACUCUCAUAUCUAUGUAUGUUUCUAUUGUCUUUUUUAUCUCUUGGUCUUUCUCUUUUAGUCUUGCCUGAUGGCAUGCCUAGUAAACUUUCAUCUGCCUCCAGAGUGUAUUGACUUUGACUCUAUGGCACACAAUCUGAGUAAGGGCAGAUCACUUUCAUCUAAUUUGGGACACUAAGCUGGUUCAAAGCAGAUUUUAGGUUUUGUGACAGCUGGUCUAAUUUUUAUCCAUUUGGGCUCCUAGGGGCGACCCUUCCAGGGUCACCACCAAGGCCCCAACUCCUUACUGGGACCCAAGUUCUCAUGAAGUCAUUUGAGCCCUGUGAGAGUGCCAGACAUUCAGCUCGGCUUUCCAGCCUCUUAACUAUGCCUUCAUAGUCGGUUUCUUAGCCUCUUGGCCCUAUGCCGUUUACCAGUCACCAAAUGUGGGGAAAAGACCUACAGACUGUCGGGGCCACCUCCAAGGCCAGGUCACUCAAGUCCUCGCUGAGGUCUCUAGUUACCUUCCAACAAUUGUUUUUCGUGGGGGUGGGGGCACAGUUUUUCUAACUGUCCAGUUUCUCUAACUGUUCUUGUGAAGAGAAGUUGAAAAUCUCCUCCUGUCUUUAUUUAUUUAUUUAUUAUUUUUAACAGAGUCUCACUCUGUUGCCCAGGCUCUAGUGCAGUGGUGUGAUCUGGGCUCAAUGUAACCUCGGACUGCUGGGUUCAAGCAGUUCUCCUGCCUCAGCCUCUCCAGUAGCUGGGAUCACAGGUGUGUUGGCACUGCCUGGCUAGUUUUUGUAUUUUUAGUUCCACCGUGUUGGCUAGGGUGAUCUCGAGCUUCUGACUCAGGUGACCUACCUGCCCUGGCCUCCUAAAGUGCUGAGAUGAUAGGUGUGCACCACCAUCUCUUUUAAUAAAUGUUUUUGGCUGGGUGCGGUGUCUGAUGCCUGUAAUCCCAGCACUUUGUGAGGCUGAGGCANNNNNNNNNNNNNNNNNNNNNNNNNNNNNNNNNNNNNNNNNNNNNNNNNNNNNNNNNNNNNNNNNNNNNNNNNNNNNNNNNNNNNNNNNNNNNNNNNNNNCGCUGCCGUCCCGUGGAGUCGCCGCCUGCUCCGAAAGCAGUCCACGUAACUGGACAACUACAGGUUCCUUUACACAAGUCCAAUAAUCACAUCUUCUUUAUAUACUCACAGUGAGGCUUUUUUAUUUUUUAGAAGGCAGCCUUUCAAACGUGUUUAUUAGAAUGCACGCUGACUCUGCUAUAAUUUAAAGAAAACACAGCUAUGCUGACAUCCACUGCCCUCAUUACCAUGUGUUUCUUCCCCAAAGUUUUGUCAAACUUUCAAAAAAUCCUUUUCCAAAUAGUUAUUCACAGCUAACUGCCCAUCAGACCAAGGUCCCCAGGCUUUUAGAGACACUUCCAUUGUGAAAUGGACGGCAGCCCCCACCCCAGCCACCAGGCCACCCACCACUGGCCACGGCAGUGUGUGAGCAGCAGCGCCCCCACGUCUUUGCCACUGUCCUGCUGGUCUGAGUAUACCCCUGAGGAUCGACAGGCUCUCCCACAGACACUGCCCCACCAUGAGCAGAUCCAGGGCAGCAGGGUAGAAAUGGACUCUCUUCUAGGGUGGGAGUAGGGGAGUCUUCUGUGAAACAUCAGUGGCCAAUCAGCCCUCAGAAAGACUUCACUCCUGAGUCUGAGGGGUGAGCAUAAGAGUGGCCGGAGCAUUCACACAACAUGCUUCAUAACUGGACCAGUGAAGUGCUCAGCCACCAUUAGAACUGCAAGGCACCCACCCCUCCCACCCCCUCGCUUCAGCAUCUGCGAGGCCUCUACCAGGAGGUUCCUUGCUCUCAGGCCCCUCUGCUCCCUUCUCUGGGACAGCCAGGGUCCUACCUGCUCGUGAGGCCACUUCGGCCUCUCCUCUGGGGUCCUGGUGUUGGGAUUGAAGCCUCUCUGGGGAUCUCCGCGGUGCUUGGCCUUGGAAGGGAGGUUCACAGUGACUUGGCCCUUGUCUCGUGCCUGCUGGGGCCUUGCUGGCAAGGCAGGCCUCUGCAGAAUCCCCAGGCCCUGGCUCAGGCCCAUGCUCAGGGCCGGCCUCAUUGGCGCUGGUGAUGCUCAUCGUGCUCAGGCUCAUCUUGAUUGCGGCCACGAUCUGGUCGAUGUCCUCCUCCUGGUCCUCCAGGUCCCCAUCCCCACACCUCAGGCAAUAGGGGGAGGUGCCAGUGUUCCCGUUGGCCUCUGCCAGGUAGUAGUCCUGGGGACAGUGAGGGCCAUCUUCUUCCUGGUCACGGGCCUCUAGGACGGAGGGCUCAAACUCCCGGAUGGGCAGGUAGUGAUCCAGGUAGUCCUGGCUGCCUUCAGCCCUGUGGCCCUGGGGGUGUGGGCCUGCCGAGUCCGUCCAUUACUCCACUGAUGGCCUCCUGGCACUCGUCGCCAUCCACUGCAUGCACGCUGUGUGGGCCAGGUACUCCUCUCCGUUGCAGUCCAUGCCCUCCAGGUAGCCGUCAUCCUCGGGGCAGUAGUGGACUUAGUAGGUGAUGCCCUCUCCUCCUCCUCAGAAGGGCCCUCGUCAUAGUCCUCCCUCCCUGGAGGUGUUGUUCAUGUAGUUGGAGCUGGAGUCCCCAUCGGGGCUGUGGUUGUCGCACUCCUGUUCUUUGGGCAUGGAGCUCUCUGGCCACAGGGUGGCCAGCUCCAGGCCCUCAGGUACAUGGCCUCCAAUGGCAGCUCCACGUCCUUGCUCUUGGGCUCCUGGCACUGUGGGACCAGGCCUGGCCUUGCCCUGUGGUCCAACAUGCCGCUCCCCACACUCUCACACUUCUGGUGGGCCAUGGUGGGCACUCACACAGUCGUCAUCUCCCGGAGGGAACCACAGCAGAAAGGAACACUGGGAAG
rnacentral:lncRNA from 1 species